AAACUUCCAUUCUGACAUUAAGCUCCUUUUGCUCGUACCAUCCUAGGGUAUUUAAUCUUUUGGAUUUUUCUAAAUUUGGAAACUUUUGACUUUGAACUGGGACAAUUGGUGCAUUUGUAAGUUCAGAUUCUAAGGGAAACUGUUUGUUAAUAUGUUCUUGUUCUUUUUUGGUAGAUGGCAGCAAACUUUAAUGAGAGGUCAGGUGUAAAAGGGAACAUACCACUAGGAUGCUUUAACGCCAUGUUCAAUUAUACCGGUUCUUGGCAAGUAGAUGCAGCUUCCACAAAGUCUCUUGCACUUGUUGGCUACGUUAUUCCUCUUUAUGAAGUCAAACUGGCUAAGCU
rnacentral:lncRNA from 1 species